UAAUAAUUUCAAUUACAGGGUUGUCCCCAUACCCUGUCCAGUAUGAGCGCAAAGACAUUAAACCUCAAUACCACGUCCGAUAUGAGUGUCAAACUACCUAAUCUCCAAACUCCGUCCGGUAUGAGACAACGUUCACGGUAGGGUUCCCUACAUACCCAGUCUAUCUACCAUCUCUUAUGAUAUAUAGUAAGGUUGUCAUUAUAUCUGUUUAUUUGAUCAUACCCAUUUCCUGUUUUU
rnacentral:lncRNA from 1 species